AACGGACGCUGGCGGCACGUUUUAAGCAUGCAAGUCGAAUGGCAGCAGGGGCAACUCUGUGAGAAUGGCGAACGGGUGAGUAACACGUAGGUGAUCUGCCUUGAGGAUGGGGAUAGCCUGUGGAAACACAGGGUAAUACCGAAUGAGCUGACGAGACUUUGGUUUUGUUAGUAAAGGUGCUACGGCACCGCCUUGCGAGGAGCCUGCGGCUGAUUAGCUAGUUGGUGGGGUAAGAGCUUACCAAGGCGACGAUCAGUAGCCGGCCUGAGAGGGUGUACGGCCACACUGGAACUGAGACACGGUCCAGACUCCUACGGGAGGCAGCAGCUAAGAAUCUUCCGCAAUGGGCGAAAGCCUGACGGAGCGAUGCCGCGUGAUCGAUGAAGGUCGAGAGAUUGUAAAGAUCUUUUCUACAUGAGGAAUAAGUCUGGGAGGGAAUGCCCGGAUGAUGACGUUAGUGUAGGAAUAAGCCCCGGCUAAUUACGUGCCAGCAGCCGCGGUAA
rnacentral:rRNA from 1 species